AGCACGACCUUACUUGAACAGGAUCUGUUCUAUAGGCUCGUACCGCUGCAUCCUUUACCAAUAAGGAGGCAAGCACUUCAGUCUGGUUGAUGCAUUCUAACCUCUAGGCCAGAGCGUGAUUAACUGCCAGGAUUCACCUGAUGGGUCUUAUCCGAUGGCUGUAGAGGAUCGUUCCUGCCCAUACUUGUGUGUGCAGGGUGGCCUAGAGGUUGUCUGACAGACCCAACAACACUUUUUUUGCUUCAAGUUUAGGGUGAAAUCUAUGAAUUUAACCAUCUGAAUUAGCGAACUUUCAGCCAUCUGUCAAGGCUGUGCUGUAGUAAUCCUUUGGGGAUAUGGUUGCUCAUGUCCUCGUAACCCAGAUGCUCCAGCAGUGAUGAUGUUCGUAAAAAGAAUAUUAUUGCUUGCUUGAUUGCUUAAGAGUUUAAAAUGUUAUCAAAAAAAUCAAGUCCAGGAUUAAUGGCCAUAUCAUCAGAAAAAAUCAACUCCAGGAUUAAUGGAGAGAGAGCGCAUAAGUUGGAGGAUUUUGCAAAUUGACAACUGAAACAGAAGUAAUCAUUUGCUUCAACUGUCCUUUGAUGUCUCGGACUUCGUUUUGUGCAGUAGAAACUGUAAUACCGCUGCACAUUUGCUUGCGCAGUUCGAUCUCAAGGCUUCUGUGCCUCUCACCUUUUGGGCAGAUGUUGCCCCUGACUGUGUUGCUUGUCUGGUGACCAGCGAGAUUGCUAGGAGCCAAGCCUGAGUGGAAUGGGUCUUAUUCCUUUUAAGAAAACUGAAUUCCUUCCUUUGCACCAUGCCGCUUUUUCUUCAGUCUGUCUCUCAAUUAGCAGUAGCCAGAUAAAAAAUUGUUGACCUGGCAGGAACAGUAGGUGGUUUGCCUACUGCAAGUAUGCUCAGUAAGGAAAACACUUGUUGACCUGGCAGUGCAAUUCAGAACAAGAUUUUCUUUGGUUGUGGAAGACUGAGUUCAGCUUUUCUUUCAACAGUUCCAUGCAUCUGUACCAGAAGCAUACAUACCUACUUCAACACUUUCAUUGAGCAUAUAUCAUGUCAUCGUAUACUCUACCUAGAAAUUUUUUCUACAAAAACUGAAAACAAGCCGCGUAGAUGCACCAAACAAUUAAAUGCAUAGAUCCAAGGAAAGUUAUCCAUGCAUUGGCCAUAAGUUCUAACCAAUUAUAUUACAUCAGUUUGAAGCAGGGGUUUCAUCCAUAUAAUGAGAGAAGAACGAAUGCAUGACAAAUGUUGGCCUAUUUUAAUAUGUAUUGCUCUUAUCUUGAAAAAAUAAAUGCAAUGCCAUUUCUUGAAGAGCAAACCGUUUCUUUUCUUUUAGAUAGUGGAUGAUUUUUUUUGCCUCAAUCCUUUUUCUUGCAAGAGCCUAAAUCUAUUAAUUAAGAGAGAGUGUCACGAACAUAGGGAACAACAACAAGGCCGCGAUGAAAAUAAAAAGACAACUCUCCUGGCCGCCCCCAUAGACCGAUUGUUGAACACCUAGCGUUGCGCUCGUUUUAAACCUCCCAAGAGAUAAGCAUGAUUAAGAAGUAAAUGGCUUUCUUGUGAGGUCUACCUUGAAGCGCAAGGGCCGACCACCGCUCCACAACAUCUCUCAUUUCACUCCAAUCGCUUGAAUGAAGGUAAAAAAACGAUGAUCAAGACUUUUUUUUUACAGAAGACCAUCAUGACUAGGUUUAUUGAAAUUGAAAUAAUAAUUACAUCAGUUGAGAUUGCUCAAGUAGGAAGUUUGGAGGAUCAUCGCGCCCAUAACUAGAAAUCUUAUUAAAAAAAACUAAACUUUGCUAGCUCAUUAGCCACUACAUCAACUCUUCUAUUACAAUGCUUGAACUUGACCUUCCGAAUUAAAUUUGCAACAUCAAGACAUUUAGCCUAAAUAGCUGCCGCCGAAUCCCAUCACUGAGAUCGGCCAUUGCAGAAACCAAGACCAAGACUUGGAAAGAGGGUGCCCUUUGGAAAUGUCCAAUAGAGGCCGGGCUAGAAGGAGUCCGUUUUGAAAAUAUCAUAUAUUCAUAGCCCAAAAAGAUCCGGAUUUGGUGUGCAGCGGCAUGAUAAUUCAUUUCAGGUUUUCUUUAGGGAGGCUUCGCAUGGUGAAGUAGAAAUUCAUUGAUGUUCCUUUCUAGCUAGAUAAAACUAGCAUCUCUCUUCACUAAAAAAAGAGAUCACUUUUUUUGAACGAUUAAAAAAUAUUUUUUUGUUAAAAAAGCUUUUAGGGGUUUAAACUUUUAUUAUGAUUUAUAAAAAUGUAUAUGAUUUAUAAAAAAAUGUUUACUAUUUUUCAAAGAAUUACCACGAAUUUAAAGAUGUUCACAAAUAAAAAAUAAGUUAAGUAAAUAAGACAUAAGUAAAAAAGGGAAAAAAGCGGAUGAAAGAAUGCCCUAUGAAAACCUAAAAAACCCAGUAGAAAAAUACUUCCUCCGUUUUUAAAUAUAAGUUUUUUUAAAGGUUUCACUUAAGCCCUACAUACGGAUGUAUAUAGACACAAUUUAGAGUGUACAUUCACUCAUUUUGCUUGGUAUGUACUCCCUCCGUUCCUAAAUAUAAGUUUUUCUAGAGAUUCCACUAGUAGACUACAUACGAAUGUGUAUAGAUAUAAUUUAGAGUGUAAAUUCAUUCAUUUUGCUUCGUAUGUAGACUUUUAAUAAAAUAUCUUAAAAGACUUAUAUUUAGGAACGGAGGGAGUAGUUGUCUAGUGAAAUUUCUAAAAGGACUUAGGUACGGAGGGAGUAGAAAAGGAAGUUGAGAAAUAAACGUUUUUUUUUAGAAACAGUUGAGAUUUGAGAAGUAACCUAGAGAAAAAGAGAAAGAGAAGAAAGAUAGCACCUGAAGCUCCCGAUUGGCCCAUCAUAGCUCCCCAGUUCAGUUGAGAAAUACCCUAGAGAAAAAAGAGUAGAUUUUGGGAUGGUGAACAUGGAAAUUUCUAUUUUGUCACUCCGGCAAGUAGUCGGGCAACAGGCAGAUCGACUAGCAUUCGGAUGGGCCGGUCCGUUCAAACGUUUCGGCCAAUUCCGGUUUUGAGAAUCUUCUUGGUGGUUCCUCGCCGUUUUUUUUUCUGGUUUUGGGAACCUUCUAGGAGGUUACUAAAACGGUUUUUCUAUUUCGGAUUUUUCUACUUUUUGUUUCUUUUCUUUUUCAUUUUUCUAUUUUUUCCUUUUCUUUGCUCUUUGGUUUUUUAUUUUCCAUGUUUCUUUUCUUUGAAAACUUUAUAUAUUUAUUCGGAAUUUUAUAACAUGUUCCUGUUUUCAAAAAUUGCAUCCAAUUUGAGAAAUGUUCAGGAAUUUAAAAACUCUUCUUAUUUUUAAAGUUUGUUUAGAAUUUCAAAAAAUGUUCAUGUUUCAAAAUAUCUUUCAGGAAUUUGAAAAAAUGUUCCUGUUUACAAUUGUUGUUCACAAUUUCAAAAAAUGCUCGUCUUUAAAAAAAUGUACUUGUUUUUCAUUUUUGUUAUGUUCAUGUUUUGAAAAAUUAUUCAGGAAUUAAAAAAACUGUUCUCGUUUUCAAAUUCUGGUUAGAAUGUCAUUCAUAAAAUGUUCAUGUUUCAGAAACGUACAAGAUUUUCAAAAUAUGUUUUCACUUUAAAAAUAUGUUCAGACUUUCAGAAAAAUGUUCUUCUUUCAAAAAAAUGUUUAGGAAUUUCGGAAAAUGUUUCUUGUUUCGUAAAAUUCAUUGUGUUAGAAUAUGUUCGAUUUUUUCGAAUUUUUUCUUGUUUUUUGUAAACUCGUCUUACAAGAAUGUUCUCAUUUUUCAGACAAAAAUACAGUACAUUUUUUCAAAACUGUUCAUUGCCAUUACGUUUUUGUUAAUGCCACAUUUUCUCAAUUCAAGAACUUUCUCGGAAUAUGAUGAACAUUUUUGAAUCUGAGAACUUUUUUGCAAUUUAAAGAAAAACUUUUCAAUUGACGAACAAUUUUGACGGCGUUGAAAAUUUUGUGAAUUGAAAGAACUAAUUGUGUGUUUCUUUUUUGAUUGAUUGCAAGGUUUUGUUGGUAGCUUACCAAGCUAGCUGCUUGGUAAUUGUGUGUUUCUCGUAUCAAUGAAACAACGCCAAGAACUUGCUUUUAUUCCUAUUUUGUUUUUCUGUUCGUGUCUUGUAGCUGUAUUUCUCAGAAUAAAUCGAACAACCAAAAAAGAAAUUGGAGCGAAGAAAUGAGCUCACCUGGCCUGCCACUGAGACGCUCUGGGCCCGCCAGUGGGAUGCUUUGUGCGAAGCGACUCCUCUUUGAAGCAAAGAGUGUCAUAUAGACGCUCCCGGCGAACAUUCUAGGAAAACCCUAUAGACGCUCCGGUUCUGUUUCUUCCUCUUCUUUAUUCAUGUGUCGCCUCUUUAUUAUUUUUGUUUUCCUCUUUUUUCUGUUUCUUUCUUUUCAUUUCUUGUCUUUUCGGUUUCCUUUUUUGUUUAUUUCCCUUUUCCCUUUUCAAGUUCACUUACAUUUGAAAAAAUUGUUUGAGAAUUACAAACUUUGUUCGAUUUUUUUUGUAUUUAUGAAAUGUUUGAGAAUUUGGAAAAAUAUGUAUGUAUUUUAUAAAAUGUUCAGUUUGAAAAAAACUUAUGUUUUAGUUUUUAUUCACAAAUACAAAAAUGUGCAUGUUUGUAAGGAAAUAUUUGGCAUUUUAUAAAAAACGUCUGCUUUUAAUACGUUAUUCAGAAUUCAAAAUUUGCUCACAAAUAUGGAAACUAUUUGUGUUUAUUUUUUGUUUGCUCCAAAAGGACUAAAAAUCAGUUGAAGUAUUUCAUAUUCAAAAAUUGAAAAUGUGGGGGUAGGAGUUGGAUUUUGCCAAACAAAGGAUAAUAGAAAAUAAUUAAAUAGAAGUAUAGCAGGCAUAAUAUCCACAAUUGGAUUGAAAAUAGCAUAAGCUUCGGGUUGGAAGUUGCAGCAAGUAGUUUUCUCACUGGAGUACUUUUGGACACCAGAGCCGAGUCAACAAAGGUUUACUAAUUGAACAAAAAGAGUCCAAUUAACUAUCUUCCAUGAAGGGUCUAAUUCAAAAAAGGUGUAAUAAUUAAUUCAACCAAAGUAGGCAGUAACAAAAAGAGUCUACUCUAAUUUAGCUAACUUUUGGCAUUGCUCAAGGCCAUUCCGCAUUUCUGAGAUAACUUCGACAGUUGAUUGCAACAAAAAGGAAAUGAGAACCCAAGGAAAGCACGCGAGAGACAAAUAUUUUUCAGAUGGGGUGCGCUACUUUUCUUCUGCUGCGCUACUGGGCUUUCCUCAUCCUCCUUCCAAAAACAGACCGAGGAAGCGCUGCUGCAUGCCGCUGCAAUUAGUCCCACCUCGCUAGUUUAGGUGACGCUAAACCAGUUUAUAAGGCUAAACGCGGCUGUUUGUGGCACGACCUUACUUGAACAGGAUCUGUUCUAUAGGCUCGUACCGCUGCAUCCUUUACCAAUAAGGAGGCAAGCACUUCAGUCUGGUUGAUGCAUUCUGACCUCUAGACUAGAGCGUGAUUAACUGCCAGGAUUCACCUGAUGGGUGUUAUCCGACGGCUGUAGAGGAUCGUUCCUGCCUACUCUAGUGUGUGCAGGGUGGCCUAGAGGUUGUCUGACAGACUCCAUAACACUUUUUUAAGUUUGCUUUUCAGCUCCUUUUGGCUAUUUAAAAUAGAUUCAGUUGACGUUUAAGUACCCAAUGCAGCUGUAAGAAUAGAUUCAGUUGUUCUUAAAUUUAGUAGCGUUCAUCAAGGC
rnacentral:lncRNA from 1 species